rnacentral:rRNA from 1 species
UACGUAGGGGGCAAGCGUUAUCCGGAUUUAUUGGGCGUAAAGCGCGCGUAGGCGGCCGAUCGCGUCGGAUGUGAAAGCUCAGGGCUCAACCCUGAGAGGCCAUUCGAUACGGAUCGGCUAGAGGCAGGUAGGGGAGAAUGGAAUUCCUGGUGUAGCGGUGAAAUGCGCAGAUAUCAGGAGGAACACCGGUGGCGAAGGCGGUUCUCUGGGCCUGUUCUGACGCUGAGGUGCGAAAGCUGGGGGAGCAAACAGG